UGAGGAAUAUUGGUCAAUGGGCGAGAGCCUGAACCAGCCAAGUCGCGUGAGGGAGUACUGCCCUAUGGGUUGUAAACCUCUUUUGUCGGGGAGCAAAAGCCGGACGUGUCCGGCUGUGAGAGUACCCGAAGAAAAAGCAUCGGCUAACUCCGUGCCAGCAGCCGCGGUAAUACGGAGGAUGCAAGCGUUAUCCGGAUUUAUUGGGUUUAAAGGGUGCGCAGGCGGAUUUUUAAGUCAGCGGUCAAAUCGUGGGGCUCAACCCCAUCCAGCCGUUGAAACUGGGGAUCUAGAGUGUGCGAGAGG
rnacentral:rRNA from 1 species